rnacentral:snRNA from 1 species
GUGUUCGCUUCAGCAGCACAUAUACUAAAAUUGAAAUGAUACAGAGAAAAUUGGCACAGCCCCAUGCAAGGAUGACAUACACAUUUGUGAAGCCUUCUAUAUUUUC